UUUUUGGGGUAGUAUUCCUACAAAAGCAAAGCCCUUUUGGUGGUUUUAGUUAAUGACAUUUUAAGGGGCUACCAAUCAAAACUUAGCUAAGGGUGAGGAAAGGCUGGAGUUUGGAGAUGGACUGUGGCAAUUCCAGGGGACCAGAUGCCCAGGAAUUCCCGGGCAAGAUUGGAGGCCACACUGCCCAGAAGGGAUGGGAGCUGGGGUGGGGCAGGGAGUCACCGCAGUAAAUAAUUCCUGCCUUCUGUCUCCCACGAGGUUUGUGGCAUUGGUCUUUCCUUUCACUCGGGCACAAAAGUCAAGUUUCUCUUUACCUUCUCCUUAUGCACAUGGAUUCCCAGACCCAGUUUGGUCUAUUCCAGCCAGAGUCUGGGUCAACCCAGAGAAUCCAUGUGAUUCAGCAUCUCCUCUGAUGUGUUUUCAAGAAGGAUUGCGAGGUGGACAUUGAAAAGCUGUUCCUAGCUGGCUAAGACUCUCAAAGGUGCCCAGGGCAGCUCUGGGCCCCUCAGAGCUCCUGGAGCUGAGGGCCAAAUUGCAGGAGGAGUAGCAGCUGCACCCUAGUGUGGCCUUGCACGGUCUCUAAAGCGCUUGCCAAGGACUGAGCCAAGCGGCCGCCAGGACGAGAGCAUUGAACUUUUCUCCUCAGGAGCGAUCCCUGGGGCAGUCUUCAAGGCUGGAUGGUCGAGGUUCUCGCCCUCACUCCCACGUUGUUUGCUUUUAGUUGCUGAUUUUUAAGGAUUAAGCUGCUGGUAAGCCGAUUGAACAUCAACAAUCUUUCCAGAAAAUCUUUUACGUUUACAUGGAAACAAUUGGUUGCAAUUAUAGACAUUAGUCAAUUGGAAGAUGUAGCCAAUUAGAGCGAGAGGGAGCGGGGACCAGGGUGCAGGGGUGUGUGUGUGUGUGCGUGCGUGUGUGUGUGUGUGUGUGUGGUGGGUCUGGGCAGACAGAGGGAUGAGUGUAAGAUGCGGGGAGGGAGGUGCGUCUCUGCGGUGGGAUGGGGAGAGUCUGGCCGUGUCAAGAGGGGAGCCCUUGAGCCCGCAGGAGAUUUGGGGGCGGCACGCAGCGGCUUCGAGAGAGGGAACUCCCCAUGGCUGUCGGUGUUCACAAGAUGCGCCCUGGUGGGCGAACAGCGCCGUGGGCCGAGAAGGUUCGCGGCCAUUCCGAGCCGCAGGCCGCGGCCAGAGUGAGGAGCCCGUCCCGGGGGAGGCGGCCCGCGGAGAGGCGACUCCAUCGCGGAAGGCGGAGGGUUGAGCCCCAACGCCCAUUAGCCGACUCGACGGGUCAGGCAGGGUGCUCCCCAAGGCCCCCCAGCACGGCGGAGGCUUCUCCUUUCCACCCCCGGCCCGCGCGACCGCACUCGGCGCCCCUUAGGCUGUUCUCUCCCGCAUGGCUCCUGUCUCCCCCUCAGUGCCCGGGGGCCCACGGUGGCCGGCGUCCCGCGCCCGUCCCGCCGAGUCAGGUUAAUCCACGUCUCGGGACCAGACGGUGCGAUUCCGAGUCCUCGGAGACGCAAGGGCGGGUUUCUGCGGUGUGGACGCGCGCUCCGAGUCGUCCGGGUCCAUCCCGCCUCCGCGCGCCGUGCCGGGAGCAGGUGGAGCGGAGAUGCGCUGCCGCUGAGAGGUCUGCAUCUCCGUCCUCUGCACGCGCAACAGCCCCUCGCGGCGGGCUUGGCUCGAGCUCCUCACCGGGCGAGGAGGCGACCGUGAAGGUCCUUCGCCACCCCGUCCUACGGUUGCCCUUGUGACCGAACUCGGCGUCACCUCUGCCCGUUCCGCGGCCCAGAAGGACACCGGAGCUGCUAACGGU
ensembl:lncRNA